AUGGACGCGUCCGCGCGGGGGAGAAGCGAUGGAGUCCUCCCCGACGGCGUCUUCUCGUCAGCGAAGAGUGAAUCUCCCUCCAUGGGAUCUCGCGGGCUCACCUCAAGCUCGAGCUCGACUCUGGCCACGCGCGCCGCGCCCACUAUGGCCAGUUCCGGCGCCCCCCGCAGCCCACUUGCCCCAUCGUUCCCCACCUCCGUCCGUCGACAGGGGAGCUCCAGAUUUUUGCGGGAGGAGGCCAUGGACGCUGGUGGCCAGCAACCUUUGCCACGCCCCGUCCCCGUCUCCAACUCCCCGAGGAUCCUCCUGAAGGUCGGCAGCGGCGGUGACGACGACGAGGGAGCCGAGCACGCGACGGCUGACUCGAGCGUGUGGAGGCGCACUGCGCGCGCGGUCUCGCAUCAUCUUCUGUGCAAGCAGGUCGCUGCGCCACCAGGGAGCUCGAGACGGCCGUGCCGUGCACCCAAUCCACCGAGUGCCGCCUCCUCCACCAUGACGCCGUCUUCGCCCGCCUCCUCCACUAGACGCCAAGGGCACAAUAGAAUGCGGACGGGGGAGAUAGAGCUGCUCCUCAAGUCUGGGCCGCGUCGACGGGAGGUCGCCUUCAACAUGGUCGACUGCGAUUUCAAGGUCUUUGAGGGAAAAUGGUCUGUCCAGGAGCAUGGCAAAUCUCUUUUGCACGGGACCAUGGCAAAUUAA
rnacentral:rRNA from 1 species